rnacentral:lncRNA from 1 species
UCCCCGCUCUUUCACCGAUGCUCCCGGGGCAGCUGGGAGGUGCCAGCGGUGUGUCUGCUUGUCUCACAUCCGUUGCCCUGGCCAGGAGGUGGCAGUGGUGGAGCUCCCUUCACUGGCAGCUGCCUCCUCAGCCCCCAGUCCCCUGUCCGCUCUGGGCACUGGCCACCGAGACACCCUACCUCCCCGAAGACUGUGAGGAAGGAAAGGGACACAGCUGGAGUCCCUCCCACACGCCCCAGAGGCCACAGGUCAGAAGGAGAUGACGGGCCAUCACCGGAGGUUUCAGAGCAGGGGAAGACGACGAGAAGAGCUGUGGUUGCAAAAGACUCUGCUGGCGCCCGGGGCAUGGGCGGGCAGCCUCGGCAUGGCCACUGGCACCUGGGAGUCAGCUGGUCUGGGCAGCGCAGCGACAGGCUGCAUGCAGAAGAGAGAGAGGGAGGCGGCAGACAGGGCAGGGCAGUCCUUGGGACCGAGAUGUGCCAGGGCCGGCGCCCACUGCCUUCCAUCUGGCUUCUCCUGGACUAUCUCAUCAACACCAUGAGGGCAGGAUGUUGCCUUUUUGACCUUUGGGGGCCUGCGUUGAGAGAGGGGCACCAUUCACCCACAGUGACAUACCUGCGAGGAGCAACGUGCAGCAGGAAAAGGGAGAAUGACCCCAAUCUCCAAAGCAGUUGGGAGCAUUAACU